rnacentral:rRNA from 1 species
AACGAACGCUGGCGGCAUGCCUAACACAUGCAAGUCGAACGAGACCUUCGGGUCUAGUGGCGCACGGGUGCGUAACGCGUGGGAACCUGCCCUUAGGUUCGGAAUAACUCCCCGAAAGGGGUGCUAAUACCGGUUAAUGUCUUCCGACCAAAGAUUUAUCGCCUUUUGAUGGGCCCGCGUUGGAUUAGCUAGUUGGUAGGGUAAAAGCCUACCAAGGCGACGAUCCAUAGCUGGUCUGAGAGGAUGAUCAGCCACACUGGGACUGAGACACGGCCCAGACUCCUACGGGAAGCAGCAGUGGGGAAUAUUGGACAAUGGGCGAAAGCCUGAUCCAGCAAUGCCGCGUGAGUGAUGAAGGCCUUAGGGUUGUAAAGCUCUUUUACCCGGGAUGAUAAUGACAGUACCGGGAGAAUAAGCUCCGGCUAACUCCGUG